AAUACGUUCUCGGGUCUUGUACACACCGCCCGUCAAACCAUGAAAGUCGGGGGCACCCGAAGUGUCACAUUUGUUGAUCCUAAGGUGAACUCGAUGAUUGGGGUU
rnacentral:rRNA from 1 species